GCGCAGCAGGCGAGAAAACUUCACAAUGUGCGAAAGCACGAGUGAGGGAAUCCCAAGUGCUUGCACGUAAGUGUAAGCUGUUUCUCUGUCUAAAACGCAGAGAGAGUAAGGGCUGGGUAAGACGGGUGCCAGCCGCCGCGGUAAUACCUGCAGCUCGAGUGGUGACCGUUAUUAUUGGGCCUAAAACGUCCGUAGCCGGUUUAAUAAAUGCCUGGGUAAAUCGGACCGCUUAACGGUUCGAAUUCCGGGUAGGCUGUUAAACUUGAGACCGGGAGAAGUUAGAGGUACUCCUGGGGUAGAGGUGAAAUUCUGUAAUCCUAGGGGGACCACCAGUGGCGAAGGCGUCUAACUAGAACGGGUCUGACGGUGAGGGACGAGGCCCUGGGGCGCAAACGGGAUUAGAUACCCCUGUAGU
rnacentral:rRNA from 1 species